CUCGUUCAUCUCUCUCUUUUGAAACGUCGGCGGCGGGUGGUGGCAUCAUUGGCGGCGGCGGCAAAUCAGGUAGAAUCCAUCCCUCUCUCCCUAAGCAUGAUGUUCUCGUCGUCUCUCUAGCGCUACAAAACCACAGGGGGCGGCGACCUGAGGGCGUGGGCUUCUGUGCGCUGGGGUGGUUUUGCGGCGGUGGCCGGAGGAGGCAUAUGACUGGCGGGCUGAAGUCACGGCGUGAUGCGGUGAUGGCGUCGGCGAUGCCGAUGUCUGGAUCUCACAUGGUAACAGCUUGGGGAGGUCAUCCAGCUCGGGCGUGUAGCAAAAACCGGCCGGUGCUAGCUUCUGUGUCUUAUGUCGGUAGAGCUCAACAACACUACGUCUCCCUUCUCUCUUUUAUCUUCUUUGUACUGAAUUGACCCCUCUUUGUUGCAGAAAUUUCACGGCAACCAGGAGUAACAAUAUUUUUGAUUAAUUGGGGAUACGGUGAUGUUCAGGUGACAUGGAACAUGCUGAGAUUUGGACUUCAAUCCUUGAUUGUGCACGGGAACCACACGUCGAUUAGAGUUGUGGCAGCGGCAGAUUCACCUUCCCUUUGUGCCUCGUUGGACACAACAAGGGGUGGGUGUCCCAUCUCCAGUGCGAAAUUGUACUAUGGUAACACCUUGUGUUGUUCAGCUUGGAAUUGGAUACUCGAUGCUGUGUUGCCCCAAAUUAGCAGCUCGUUGUUACUUUGUAAUCAUGAAUAAUUUUCUUUGUUGUGAGUAAUUGUGCAUUGCGAUGGGCUCUUCAUUUUGUUAUCGAAUGUUGCAGACUAUUAUUGGCUUCUCAAUGCUGAUCUGUGAUGCCCAGUUGCCCACUGAUGGUAUAUGUUAUGUCGUGCUCAAAAUAGUCGGGGUAAUAUCUAUGCUUAUGUUGCGUUUGUACAUGAACAGCCAAGGUUGUUGUAGUAAUAAAAUGAGCCCGAUGUUGUCUACUGAUCAUUGUAUAUUGGAUGGGCAAGUAGGGGUUUUUUCUCAUCUUAGUCCUAUAACUUCGUUUGUCUACUCUAUUGUCAUUUACACGCUUCCUUUUAUGCCACAUUGGGGAAUAUUCCUUUUAUGCCAUAGUUUUCUGUUGGAAGACUUCUAUUUCUCCCAUUACAGGGGUGCUAGGCUAUGUAAGCAGCGACACUAUAAUUUUUAUUGAUCUGAAUCUUCGGGCUCUAUUUUCAAAUUUUCAGCUACCAACGCUUGAUCGGGACCUCUCCCAAGACAACGGAUACACUGUUUGGAAAGGAUCGUGAAAGUGACAUGUGUCAUGAGUCUGGUUCAUCGCAACAUCGGUGUUGUUUGGUUCUUCUUUUCUCCAAGCAUGGUUCUGGCUCGGCAGUGGUAGUAGUUGUGGCUAUGGAGAUCAAGAACAAUGGGAAUGAAUGGUGUGACAUCGGUGAUGAUGUAGCUAAAGGAGAGGGUAAACAGACAUGAUGUGUUUCUGACUAAUGGGCUGCAGGGUUGGCAUAAGGGAACUAUUGUUAUGCCUUGUGAGGUCCGACGACGGUGACCGGAUGACUUGAGCAAAGCUGUGAAAAAAUCAGGUAUGUUUUCCACCAAACUCAAGUUGUUAUGUCCAAAUGCAUGGCUUUCUGAAUAAAUGCAGACAAUAUGUUUACUCAUUGUCAAAAUCUUUGUACCUCUAUGCCUACAGCCUACAA